CUUCUGGUACCUCCCAUUGCAUUCCUGGAGAAGCUAAAAUCAGGUCACCUAUAGCUACUAAUAAAAAAGAAAUCCUGCUCUGAGAACUUGCUAGCCAUUCAUUACUUGAAGUUUCUGAACGCUUGUUGGGUAUUGCCCAAGGCUCUAAGCAGAGAUGAAAGAAGAGAAAGAAGGGAAUGCAGAAGUGGGGUGUGAAGAUGAGGAAGAAGAUAUUGGACAAGGUCUUCUUAGAAGGCUCCAACCUUCAGCUGCCAAAGACAUGAGGGGAGACCAGCUGAAGUUCCUCUGUGAAAUAUUCCAUCCUGCCUAAGUCCCCCUUUUGUCCCCUCUCCCAUGGCAGCCAAUGGGACUGGUCCUUCAAGG
rnacentral:lncRNA from 1 species